rnacentral:lncRNA from 1 species
GACUUGCACGCAUAUAUAAGCCCAGAUGGCCUGAAGUAACUGAAGAAAACAGCCAUGUUGCUCACACAAAGCCUGUUUGGUGGUCUCUUCACACGGACGCACAUGAAAUUUGGUGCCAUGACUCUGAUCGGGGGACCUCCCUUGGGAGAUCAAUCCCCUGUCCUCCUGUUCUUCGCUCUGUGAGAAAGAUCCACCUACGACCUCAGGUCCUCAGACCGACCAGCCCAAGGAAUAUCUCACCAAUUUUAAAUCUGGUAAGCGGCCUCUUUUUACUCUCUUCUCCAACCUCCCUCACUAUCCCUCAACCUCUUUCUCCUUUCAAUCUUGGCGCCACACUUCAAUCUCUCCCUUAAUUUCAAUUCCUUUCAUUUUCGGGGAGAGACAAAGGAGACACGUUUUAUCCGUGGACCCAAAACUCCAGCGCCGGUCACGGACUGGGAAGGCAGCCUUCCCUUGGUGUUUAAUCAUGGCAGGGAUGCCUGAUUAUUCAUCCAUGUUUCAAAGGUGUCAGACCACACAGGGACGCCUGCCUUGGUCCUUCGCCCUUAGCGGCAAGUCCCGCUUUUCUGGGGAAGGGGCAAGUACCCCAACCCCUUCUCUGCUUUUCUGGGCAAGGGGCAAGUACCAUAACGCCUUCUCUCCUUGUCUCUACCCCUUCUCUGCUUUCCUGGGGCAAGGGCAAGUUUCCCUCAACCCCUUCUCCUUCACCCUUAGUGGCAAGUCCCGCUUUUCUGGGGGGGCAAGAAUCCCCAAUCCCUUAUUUCCGCACCCCAACCUCGCAUCUCUGCCCCUCGAUCCCUUAUUUCGGUGCCCCGACCCCUUACUUCUGUGCCCCAUCCCUUAUUUCUGCCCCCCGACCUCUUAUCUCUGCACCCCAACCCCUUUUCCCACUUUUUUGGAAGGUAAGAACCCCCGAACCCCUUCCCUCCGUUUCUAUACUCUCUCUUUUCUCUAGGCUUGCUUCCUUCACUAUAGGCAACCUUCCACCCUCCAUUCCUCCUUCUACUCCCUUGAUCCUGCAAGAUCUAAAUAAUUCUUGUCGUAAAAUAGGCAAACAGUCUGAGGUGCCUGACGUCCAGGCAUUCUUUUACACAUGAGUCCCUUCCUAGUCUCUGUGUCCAGUGCAACUCAUCCCAAAUCUUCCUUCUUUCCCUCCCACCUGUCCCCUCAGUACCAACCCCAAGCGUCACUGAGUCUUUCUAAUCUUCCUUUUCUACAGACCCAUCUGACCUCUCCCCUCUUGGCCAGGCCGAGCUAGGUCCCAAUUCUUCCUCAGCCCCUCCUCCUCCACCCUAUAAUCUUUUUAUCACCUCCCCUCCUCACAACCCUGGUCCAGCUUACAGUUUCAUUCCGUGACUAGCCCUCCCCCACCUGCCCAGCAAUUUACUCUUAAAAAGGUGGCUGGAGCCAAAGGCAUAGUCAAGGUUAAUGCUCCUUUUUCUUUAUCCCAAAUCAGAUAGCGUUUAGGCUCUUUUUCAUCAAAUAUAAAAGUCCAGCCCAGUUCAUGACUUGUUUGGCAGCAAUCCUGAGAAACUUUACAGCCCUAGACCCUAAACCCCAGCCACAUCUCCGGCACACAAGAAUUUCCAAAAGCCUGAACCGCAGCAGCCAGGCGUUCCUCCAGAACCUCCUCCCACAGGAGCUUGCUACACAUGCCAGAAAUCUGGCCAUUGGGCCAAGGAAUGCCCGCAGCCCGGGAUUCCUCCUAAGCCGCGUCCCAUCUGUGUGGGACCCCACUGAAAAUCGGACUGUUCAACUCACUUAGCAGCCACUCCCAGAGCCCCUGGAACUCUGGCCCAAGGCUCUCCGACUGACUCCUUCCCAGAUCAUCUCGGCUUAGCGGCUGAAGACUGACACUGCCCGAUGGCCUCAGAAGCCCCCUAGACCAUCACGGACACUGAGCUUCCGGUAACUCUCACAGUGGAAGGUAAGCCCGUCCCCUUCUUAAUCAAUACAGAGGCUACACACUCCACAUUACCUUCUUUUCAACUGACUAUUCCUGGACUACAGCUGUAUCUCAUUGCUGCCCUUCUUCCCAAUCCAAAGCCUCCUUUGCAUCCUCCUCUUCUAUCCCCCACCUUAACCCACAAGUAUAAGAUACCUCUACUCCCUCCUUGGCGACCGAUUAUGCACCCCUUACCAUCUCAUUAAAACCUAAUCACCCUUACCCCACCAAACGCCAAUAUACCAUCCCGCAGCACGCUUUAAAAAGAUUAAAGCCUGUUAUCACUCGCCUGCUCUUUAAUAUUGUUAGAGGCCCUAAAAAUCACAAACCAUUCUCAACUCACUCUCUACAUUUCUCAUAACUUCCAAAAUCUAUUUUCUCCUCAUACCUGAUGCAUAUACUUUCUGCUUCCCGGCUCCUUCAGCUGUACUCACUCUUUGUUGAGUCUCCCACAAUUACCAUUGUUCCCGGCCCAGACUUCAAUCCGGCCUCCCACAUUAUUCCUGAUACCACACCUGACCUCCAUGACUGUAUCUCUCUGAUCCACCUGACAUUCACCCCAUUUCCCCAAAUUUCCUGGUUUCCCGUUCCUCACCCUGAUCACGCUUGAUUUAUUGAUGGCGGUUCCACCAGGCCUAAUCGCCACACACCAGCAAAGGCAAUUUCUUCCCUUCUGUCAGGCAUAAUUCCUCAGUUUAGCCUUCCCACCUCUAUACAGUCUGAUAACAGACCAGCCUUUAUUAGUCAAAUCAGCCCAGCCACCAACUUAAAAAGGACUGGACAAUACUUUUACCACUUUUGCUUCUCAGAAUUCAGGCCUGUCCUCAGAAUGCUACAAGGUACAUCCCGUUUAAGCACCCAUACAUGCCCUGCUCUUGUUUACACUGCCAGUUUACACUGUUUUUCCAAGCCAUCACAGCUGAUAUCUCCUGGUGCUAUCCCCAAACUGCCACUCUUAACUCUUGAAGUAAAUAAAUAAUCUUUGCUGGCAGAACUAUGCUGAAUCUCCUUAGGCACUCCCUAAUCAGAUAUCCUGAGUCAUCCCAAUUCUUAGACCUUUUACACCUGUUUUUCUCCUUCUGUUAUUCCAUUUAGUUUCUCAAUUCAUCCAAAACCGUAUCCAGGCCAUCACCUAUCAUUCUAUACGACAAACGUUUCUUCUAACAUCCCCACAAUAUCACCCCUUACCACAAGACCUCCCUUCAGCUUAAUCUCUCCCACUCUAGGUUCCCACGCCGCCCCUAAUCCCGCUUGAAGCAGCCCUUAGAAACAUCGCCCAUUCUCUCUCCAUACCACCCCCCAAAAAUUUUCGCCGCCCCAACAUUUCAACACCAUUUUGUUUUAUUUUUCUUAUUAAUAUAAGAAGGCAGGAAUGUCAGGCCUCUGAGCCCAAGCCAAGCCAUCGCAUCCCCUGUGACUUGCACGCAUAUAUAAGCCCAGGUGGCCUGAAGUAACUGAAGAAUCACAAAAGAAGUGAAUAUGCCCUGCCCCACCUUCUUUGCUGAGUAACUUACCAUUGCCUCUCAAUUUUGUUUCAUUUCAGGCAUUACACCUAAAAGUAAUUUGAGCACCUUGAGCUUAGAGCCUACCUUGGCUAAUGUGAAACACUCCAGCUGUGCUAAGAUGGUCCUCAAUAGUCAACAAGCACUUCUGAAAGUCUGGAAUCCAUGAUUUCUGAAAUAUAACCCACUUCAUUUGCCCUUAAAGACUAAGACCUCUAUUAAAAGCAGAGCAUUUCUUGUCAUUCUUUCCAUUGUAUUGACCACUGAGCGAUUCAUUAACAAUUGAUCUGCAUCUCCUUAAAGGAAAAAAAAAACCAGGUCAAUAGGAAGUCAAUCUGUUGAGAAGGAAUAGAGGAAAUAUGUGAUGCAGCAAGGCACAUCUGUAAUAAGACUGGAGGGAUGUAGGCAAUGGAGAGAACAGUGACAUGGCCCCUACAAAAAUCCAAUUUCUGAAGUCAGACAAACAGACUAAACUAGAGUUUAACACAGACAAACCUUUAUGCUAGAAAAGUUUAUUUGCCACCUAUUCCUGAUUUAGCCAUUGUGAUUUCUCUUUUGCAUAGUGUUUUGAAUGGAAAUUCACAGGUUACAAUGUUAAGAAGUUACUAAGCAAUACUUUCAAACAAGUUUUGUUCUCCUGUCUAAAACUCUAUUUAACAUUUGAGAUAGUCAUUAGCUAAAAUAGAUUCUCUGACUCAAGGCAACAUUACCUUCUGCUAGCCUUGGCAUUAGAGUGGUUGGAAGAAGGAGGCUUCAUGUUCUGCAGUUGUCAGAAGAAAACAAACCACUUAAAUUUAUAACAAGUUACCAGCUAGAAUCUGUUGUAAUAAUCACAGUCUUUUGUGAAAAUCAAUGAAGUGCAUGGCAUUUUAAUUCACUAUCUCUGAUCCUCAAAAGAGGCUCUGGUUGAAUUGGGAGGAGAAAGCCUGGAGCUUGACUACUUAGAUUCCUUCCCCUUUUCCCAACCCUCUCUGUAGCAGCCCCCAGUGCUCUGCUCUGUAGCACUGGGGGUGGCUACAGAGAGGCUCUGUAGGAAACCCUA